AUGAUUCCUUCACCAAUACGUAACUCGAUCGUAGGAUCAUGUGUAAAUGUCAUUACCUUGAAGGUAAAGGAAUCGGAAGUUGGCUUCCCGAUAAAAGUUUUUGGUACCGUUGUAGCAAGAGACCAGGUCGACUAUAGAUGUGUUUAUCUCUUCAGGCGUGAAAGGGAUGAUCCCCAACUCAUCACCUCGGUGGAUGGCAAGUUAACUUUGAUGGAUCCAUGCCGAGGGCUUGUUCCGGCAGACAGAAUAUAUUUUGAGAUGAAUUUAAAGAUAGUCCGUGAUGGAGGUGAGGUUGAAGAUUUCAGCAAAGGUGUGAUUGUUUUCAACAGGGCCCGCCUCCCUAAUGAUAAGCAGACCAUGGGUGUGAGUCUAAAUAGUUAUCUGAGUAGGGUGGAAGUGAGAUGUGCGUAUGUUGUAUAUCCCAUUGAAGCUACCAUUGAAGUCAAUAUUUUGAAGGGACCGUGUAGUGUCUCAAGAGUUGCCGCCUGGACUACCAAGAAUUAUGAGUAUAGUAUGGAUCUUUACAACGGUGGUGAAGCAGCAGCAGAGAUUGAGGCAGGAACCGUUCCCUUGAGUCGGCAUGUUGUAGCUGUCCCACUUGGUAGAAAGUUGGUGCUCCUUGUCACCGGUCGUAGCGUUGGUGAUGUUUUUAAUAAAAACAUCAUCGUACCUUUAGGACGAUCCAAUGAGAUGAUGCAUUAUAGAUUAGGUUCCGCACUUGUGGAGGUGAAACUUGUCUGGACAGCUGUUCCCAGACGCGAGAGGCAAGAUAUGAUCAAGGAUGUGGGAGACGAGAGCCUUUUGAUGUGA
rnacentral:rRNA from 1 species